rnacentral:ncRNA from 2 species
AGUAUCCUUCGGGGCAGGGUGAAAUUCCCUACCGGCGGUGAUGAAACAGUCAUGUUUCUUAGUCCGUGACCCGGUUAACAUUUGUUAAACGGUGGAUCUGGUGUAACUCCAGAGCCGACAGUUAUAGUCUGGAUGGGAGAAGGAAAAA